ACCCAGUUGACGAGUUCCAAAUAGGAUGAAACGCGCGUCCUGGAU
rnacentral:hammerhead_ribozyme from 1 species